rnacentral:rRNA from 1 species
UUGGAGGGCAAGUCUGGUGCCAGCAGCCGCGGUAAUUCCAGCUCCAAUAGCGUAUAUUAAAGUUGUUGCAGUUAAAAAGCUCGUAGUUGAAUUUCGGGAUCAGAGUGUCGGUCGUGCCUCGGUACGCACUGGUAUUAUUGGUUCCUACCUUCUGAAGAACCGCGAUGUCAUUAAUUUGGUGUCGUGGGGAAUCAGGACUGUUACUUUGAAAAAAUUAGAGUGUUUAAAGCAGGCUUACGCUUGAAUACAUUAGCAUGGAAUAAUGAAAUAGGACGUUUGAUUCUAUUUUGUUGGUUUCUAGGAUUGACGUAAUGAUUAAUAGGGAUAGUUGGGGGCAUUAGUAUUCAAUUGUCAGAGGUGAAAUUCUUGGAUUUAUUGAAGACUAACUACUGCGAAAGCAUUUGCCAAGGAUGUUUUCAUUAAUCAAGAACGAAAGUUAGGGGAUCGAAGACGAUCAGAUACCGUCGUAGUCUUAACCAUAUACUAUGCCGACUAGGGAUCGGAUGAUGUUAAUUUUUUAAUGACUCAUUCGGCGCCUUACGGGAAAC